rnacentral:misc_RNA from 1 species
CCAAUAGCGUAUAUUAAAGUUGUUGCAGUUAAAAAGCUCGUAGUUGAAUUUCGGGAUCAGUAGGUCGGUCGUGCCACUGGUAUGAACUGGUCUCACUGGUUCCUCCCUCUUGACGAACUGCAAUGCUAUUAAUUUAGUGUUGUAGGAAAUCAGGACUGUUACUUUGAACAAAUUAGAGUGUUUAAAGCAGGCUUUGGCUUGAAUACAUUAGCAUGGAAUAAUGAAAUAGGACGUUCGAUCCUAUUUUGUUGGCUUCUAGGAUUGACGUAAUGAUUAAUAGGGAUAGUUGGGGGCAUUAGUAUUCAAUUGUCAGAGGUGAAAUUCUUGGAUUUAUUGAAGACUAACUACUGCGAAAGCAUUUGCCAAGGAUGUUUUCAUUAAUCAAGAACGAAAGUUAGGGGAUCGAAGACGAUCAGAUACCGUCGUAGUCUUAACCAUAAACUAUGCCGACUAGGGAUCGGAUGAUGUUAAUUUUUUAAUGACUCAUUCGGCGCCUUACG